rnacentral:rRNA from 1 species
GAUGAACGCUGGCGGCGUGCUUAACACAUGCAAGUCGAGCGAGAAGUUUUGAAAAGAUUCUUCGGAUGAAAUUUAAAAUGGAAAGCGGCGGACGGGUGAGUAACGCGUAGGCAACCUGCCCCAUACAAAGGGAUAGCAUUUGGAAACGAAUAUUAACACCUUAUGAAACUUAACUAGUGCAUGCUAGGUAGGUCAAAGAUUUAUCGGUAUGGGAUGGGCCUGCGUCUGAUUAGCCAGUUGGUGAGGUAACGGCUCACCAAGGCGACGAUCAGUAGCCGACCUGAGAGGGUGAACGGCCACAUUGGAACUGAGACACGGUCCAAACUCCUACGGGAGGCAGCAGUGGGGAAUAUUGCACAAUGGGGGAAACCCUGAUGCAGCAACGCCGCGUGAACGAUGAAGGCCUUUGGGUCGUAAAGUUCUGUUCUAGGUGAUGAAAACUGACAGUAACCUAGGAGAAAGCCCCGGCUAACUCCGUG